UCAACAACGUGUACUCUUGUUCUCCGUCUUUUUUGGAUAUUUGCAGAAAGUAAUUAAUGAAGUGCGAUCAACUGAGUUGAGCUCCCAUCACUUCAAUUUUUUAACGUUAGGGUAAUGAAGCCGAUGAAGGCAAUGAAACUUGUCUGCCCACCAAUCACUAUGGGACUGGUAUGAUUCGUGUGGUUCAUACGUCGUACAUCAUCGUUGACUCGGAGAUCUUCUGUGGCUUCUUCAUCAGAACCUCCACCUAAGCAAGAAGAGAUGGAGGUAUCCUCUUUUCCAGUACCUGCUGAAAGAACAGCUAGAGAAGCAUCACGGGAUAUAGUGCUCAGUGAUUGGAAGGAUAUAACGGCUUGGAUGUUCAUCACAUACUACUAAUCAUCGCACCGUCCAUCCCUGUGUGCCAGAGGAACAUUCCAGCACCGGCCCUGUCCUUAAUGAAGAAGCUGUCACAGAACUACAGUCAGGGAAUGGAAGGAACAAGAGCCUGUUGGAACAAGAAAAUCCAACUAAAACAAUGGUCAUCAAACAAGGAUGUCGAAAUGAAGGAAAACAAAAGAAAUGAAUUACUCUGGUACUGGUAUAUCAAAGCAGAAAAGGAGAACUAUUUCUUCUUCUCGGAAAGGUGAUGCAAAGGAGAUGUUUCCAGGAAAUAGCAAAUAUCGGAAAGCUGAAACUGCAAUGAUGAUCAACGGUCGGAAGGAAAGGACUAAAGUGAGGUCGUUGAUGGAGGUCAGAUACGAGGCCGAGGAUGAGUAUGAGGAUGAGGAAGGCUACUCAUCUAGCCACUCCACUGAGAACAAAGUUAAGAUGAGGAGUUUAAA